rnacentral:rRNA from 1 species
UUCUGGCUCAGGAUGAACGCUAGCGGCAGGCCUAACACAUGCAAGGUCGCGGGGCAGGCACGGGUAGCAAUACCUGGUGGCGACCGGCGCACGGGUGCGUAACGCGUAUGCAACCUGCCCCCAUCAGGGGAAUAGCCCGCCGAAAGGCGGAUUAAUGCCCCAUAGGCCCAGGGCGCCGCAUGGCGCUAUGGGUAAAGCUCCGGCGGAUGGGGAUGGGCAUGCGUGCCAUUAGCUAGUUGGGGCGGUAACGGCGCACCAAGGCGACGAUGGCUAGGGGGUCUGAGAGGAUGGUCCCCCACACUGGUACUGAGACACGGACCAGACUCCUACGGGAGGCAGCAGUGAGGAAUAUUGGUCAAUGGGCGGAAGCCUGAACCAGCCAUGCCGCGUGCAGGAUGACGGCCCUACGGGUUGUAAACUGCUUUUCCCCGGGAAGAAUAAGCCCCUCGUGAGGGGUGAUGCCGGUACCGGGGGAAUAAGGAUCGGCUAACUCCGUGCCAGCCGCUGC